rnacentral:rRNA from 1 species
UACGGGGGGGGCAAGCGUUGUUCGGAAUUACUGGGCGUAAAGGGCGCGUAGGCGGCCUGCUAAGUCACACGUGAAAUCCCUCGGCUCAACCGGGGAACUGCGUGUGAUACUGGCGGGCUUGAAUUCGGGAGAGGGAUGUGGAAUUCCAGGUGUAGCGGUGAAAUGCGCAGAUAUCAGGAGGAACACCGAUGGCGAAGGCAGGUCUCUGGGCCAUAACUGACGCUGAGAAGCGAAAGCAUGGGGAGCGAACAGG